GAUGAAGAACGCAGCGAAAUGCGAUACUUGGUGUGAAUUGCAGGAUCCCGUGAACCACCGAGUCUUUGAACGCAAGUUGCGCCUGGAGCCUUCUGGCCGAGGGCACGUCUACCUGGGCGUCACGCAUCGUUGUCCCCACCCACACAACUCCCCCGCCCACCGUGCGGGCUCGUUGUGCGGGCGAGGGCACACACUGGCCUACCGUGCGCACCGUCGUGCGGAUGGCUUAAAUUCGAGUCCUCGACGCUCGUCGUCGCGACACUACGGUGGUUGAUCCAACCUCGGUGACGCGUCUCGGCCUCAACGUCGCCUCCACGAACUCCCGCAUGACCCUCCGAACGUCGCCCCCGCAAAGGGACGACACUCUCGACGCGACCCCAGGUCAGGCGGGACUACCCGCUGAGUUUAAGCAUAUCAAUAAGCGGAGGA
rnacentral:misc_RNA from 1 species